rnacentral:rRNA from 1 species
CUACGGGGCGCUGCAGUGAGGAAUAUUGGUCAAUGGGCGCAAGCCUGAACCAGCCAUGCCGCGUGAAGGAUGACGGCCCUAUGGGUUGUAAACUUCUUUUAUACGGGAAGAAACGCCUCUACGUGUAGAGGUUUGACGGUACCGUACGAAUAAGCAUCGGCUAACUCCGUGCCAGCAGCCGCGGUAAUACGGAGGAUGCAAGCGUUAUCCGGAUUUAUUGGGUUUAAAGGGUACGUAGGCGGAAGAUUAAGUCAGUAGUGAAAUCCCGCAGCUUAACUGUAGAACUGUUAUUGAUACUGGUUUUCUUGAAUGUAGUUGAGGUAGGCGGAAUAAGUAAUGUAGCGGUGAAAUGCUUAGAUAUUACUUAGAACACCGAUUGCGAAGGCAGCUUACUAAGCUAUGAUUGACGCUGAGGUACGAAAGCGUGGGGAGCGAACAGGAUUAGAUACCCUCGUAGUC